CUCCGGUUGAUCCUGCCGGACCCGACUGCUAUCAGAGUGGGACUAAGCCAUGCGAGUCAACAUAGCAAUAUGUGGCAUACGGCUCAGUAACACGUAGUCAACAUGCCCAGGGGACGUGGAUAACCUCGGGAAACUGAGGAUAAACCGCGAUAAGUCACUACUUCUGGAAUGGGUAAUGACUCAAAUCUACAUGGCCCCUGGAUUGGACUGCGGCCGAUCAGGCUGUUGGUGAGGUAAUGGCCCACCAAACCUGUAACCGGUACGGGCUCUGAGAGGAGGAGCCCGGAGAUGGGCACUGAGACAAGGGCCCAGGCCCUAUGGGGCGCAGCAGGCGCGAAACCUCUGCAAUAGGCGAAAGCCUGACAGGGUUACUCUGAGUGAUUUCCGUUAAGGAGAUCUUUUGGCACCUCUAAAAAUGGUGCAGAAUAAGGGGUGGGCAAGUCUGGUGUCAGCCGCCGCGGUAAUACCAGCACCCCGAGUGGUCGGGACGUUUAUUGGGCCUAAAGCAUCCGUAGCCGGUUCUACAAGUCUUCCGUUAAAUCCACCUGCUUAACAGAUGGGCUGCGGAAGAUACUAUAGAGCUAGGAGGCGGGAGAGGCAAGCGGUACUCGAUGGGUAGGGGUAAAAUCCGUUGAUCCAUUGAAGACCACCAGUGGCGAAGGCGGCUUGCCAGAAUGCGCUCGACGGUGAGGGAUGAAAGCUGGGGGAGCAAACCGGAUUAGAUACCCGGGUAGUCCCAGCUGUAAACGAUGCAGACUCGGUGAUGGACUAGCUUUAUGCUAGUCCAGUGCCGCAGGGAAGCCGUUAAGUCUGCCGCCUGGGUAGUACGGUCGCAAGACUGAAACUUAAAGGAAUUGGCGGGGGAGCA
rnacentral:rRNA from 1 species